CUCUUCCCUUCUGUGGGACGUGUUUUGAGGACUUGUGUGUUGACUGCACCAUGCAGAGCAUAUAGCAUGGAGGCACCCCUACUGCCAUCGGGGGGCAGGUGGAGGGGGGACCGUCCUGCAGCUCCUCCCUGGGGCUACCCCUCUCUUCCCUCUGCACAGACCUGGCAGCCACCCAGACGUCCCGCCUGCUGCCUAGACUCUAAGAAGAUGCCCUAUCACUCCAAUUACCAUACACAGUACUGGCGGGGGAGAGGUCCUGCCUUGCCGCUGAAAACUGCACUGCUUCCUCCCUCCAGGGAUGAAAGGCCAAAAGAACGAGGGCAGUGUGGAGUCUACGCUCUCGCCAGGGACCUGCAGCCUCUCACUUCCAAGCACACCAACUCCAGCUAACAGGACUGGGCUUCCUUACCUGCCGCCUUCCGCUGCCUCCCCGCAGACACAGCUUCAGCGACGCCCAGGCUGAGACGGCAGAAGAGGUUCCCGCCGGCCGCGGCCUGCCCUCAGGCAGUGGCUCCCAGAGCUCAGCGGUUCCCCGCACUCUUCUGCGCCCGACUCCCCAUGCCCCUACAUCCUGCGUCCCCUUCAGCCCCGGAGGUACCGUGGGGCCCGGGCCUGCCAGUCACCACCUCCUCCUCCGCCGGCGCCUCCGGGUCCUGAGCCCCUCGCCGGGUCCCUCUCCCUCCUGGGGCUCCUUCCCGUUCAGCCUCCGGGGCCCUACCCCGCUCUCCCCGACUCCCCCGGGCCCGGCCUGCGCCUUCCUGCGGUGCCGAGGAGCGGUGGCGCCCUGGGUGAAGAAGUCCCGCCGAGUCGAGGGGCGCAAUGGAGGAGCGCCGGAACAGGUCUCUCAUUCCGAGUAGCUACCGUUGCACUGUGCGAGUGUAAAAGUCACUUCCACCCGGUCUCAGUUGUUCCAACCUCAGUUGAAGUGAGGAGGUUGGACUGGAAGGUUUCUGGGGUCACUCCAGUGAGGCUGGGGUUCUAGUCCCAAUCUCACCGUGGCACCCCAAAGGCCCAGAAACCCGGACCAUCACCUCUCUUUCCCCGGGGCCAACGGAGCACUCCUGAAGGAGGGAGGGUUUGUCUCAGGCCUGACGAUUCCUGAUGAGGACUUGGGCAGAAACAGCCCCAGGCAAGCGGACCUUCAUUCCUGCACUUGAGCCGUCUCCUCCCUGCCCCCACCCCAGAAGGAGAAAACCCAGCGCUCGGAUUCCCAGCGGCGGGGCAGCCUGCAGGCCCUGUUCCCAGCCCACAGACCCAUGUCCCAGCCCAAACGGAGGCAGCCCUGGGCAGCGGGCGCGUGGAGCCCAAGGGCUCAGGGCCACUCAGCCCUUGUUACUGUCCCUCAUCUAGAAAAUGGAUGUAAUAACAAAACAGUUCACGGUAGGUGGCAAGAUCAGACACAUCGGAAACUGUGUAGGGCUGGCUCUUUCUGCGCUCACACUGUCCAGCAAUGGGCCCCAGGGACUUGGCCAGAGCGCAGUAGGGCAAUGAGAAAGGGGUGGCUUCUGGAAACCUACACGAGGCCCAGUCUGGGUGGAUUUGGGUGGCGGUCCCUUGCCUGCGAGGUGGGCAGGGCAACUUUCUACUAAAUUAUCUAACACUGCCAGUAAUGGCAGCCCUUCCCCAGGGAGCCAGGAGGCUGGGCCAGGACCACCCCCCUGUCGCCUGGCUUCAGGAAAGAAAGUGGGGAAGACAACAGAUUUGGGAGAAGGAAACUGAGGAGGUUUUCUCCCAGUCUCCCUCACGCUGCCUCAGUCAUGGCCAUUGCUAAGACUCACAGAGCCCAACUGUGCAAGGCCCUGCACUUCGCAUUCUUCUCAUCCAACCCCAUGACAACCCAAGGAGACACAUAAUAUCCCCAUUUUACACGUGGCAGAACUGAGGUUCUACAUGGCCAAGUGACUUGUUCAGUGCCAUACAGCUGGUAGUAGUGAAGCCAGGAUUCAAAUCCAGCUUUCCGACUCUAAAGUCUAAGGCACAGACCGAGUGUGGUGACUCAUGCCUGUAAUCACAGCACUUUGGAGGCUGAGGAGGGCAAAUCAUUUGAGCUCCCAAGUUCAGGACCAGCCUGGGCAACACGGCAAAACCCUGUCUCU
rnacentral:lncRNA from 10 species